rnacentral:rRNA from 1 species
UACGGGGGGGGCAAGCGUUGUUCGGAAUUACUGGGCGUAAAGGGCUCGUAGGCGGCCAACUAAGUCAGACGUGAAAUCCCUCGGCUUAACCGGGGAACUGCGUCUGAUACUGGAUGGCUAGAGUGUGGGAGAGGGAUGCGGAAUUCCAGGUGUAGCGGUGAAAUGCGUAGAUAUCUGGAGGAACACCGGUGGCGAAGGCGGAAUCCUGGACCACGACUGACGCUGAGUGAGCGAAAGCCAGGGGAGCAAACGGG